rnacentral:rRNA from 1 species
GACGAACGCUGGCGGCGUGCCUAAUACAUGCAAGUCGAGCGCAGGAAACUGACGGAACUCUUCGGAGGGAAGACAGUGGAAUGAGCGGCGGACGGGUGAGUAACACGUAAGGAACCUGCCUCAAGGAUUGGGAUAACUCCGAGAAAUCGGAGCUAAUACCGGAUAGUUCAACGGACCGCAUGGUCCGCUGAUGAAAGGCGCUCCGGCGUCACCUUGAGAUGGCCUUGCGGUGCAUUAGCUAGUUGGUGGGGUAAUGGCCCACCAAGGCGACGAUGCAUGGCCGACCUGGGGGGGUGAUCGGCCACACUGGGACUGAGACACGGCCCAGACUCCUACGGGAGGCAGCAGUAGGGAAUCUUCCACAAUGGACGAAAGUCUGAUGGAGCAACGCCGCGUGAGUGAUGAAGGUUUUCGGAUCGUAAAACUCUGUUGUAAGGGAAGAACACGUACGAGAGGGAAUGCUCGUACCUUGACGGUACCUUACGAGAAAGCCACGGCUAACUACGUGCCAGCCGCCGCAGUAAGAC